rnacentral:rRNA from 1 species
AGAGUUUGAUCCUGGCUCAGAUUGAACGCUGGCGGCAGGCUUAACACAUGCAAGUCGAGCGGGCGAGGUUGCUUCGGUAACUGAGCUAGCGGCGGACGGGUGAGUAAAGCUUAGGAAUCUGCCUAUUAGUGGGGGACAACAUUCCGAAAGGGAUGCUAAUACCGCAUACGUCCUACGGGAGAAAGCAGGGGAUCACUUGUGACCUUGCGCUAAUAGAUGAGCCUAAGUCGGAUUAGCUAGUUGGUGGGGUAAAGGCCUACCAAGGCGACGAUCUGUAGCGGGUCUGAGAGGAUGAUCCGCCACACUGGGACUGAGACACGGCCCAGACUCCUACGGGAGGCAGCAGUGGGGAAUAUUGGACAAUGGGGGGAACCCUGAUCCAGCCAUGCCGCGUGUGUGAAGAAGGCCUUUUGGUUGUAAAGCACUUUAAGUGGGGAGGAGGCUCUCUUGGUUAAUACCUAAGAAGAGUGGACGUUACCCACAGAAUAAGCACCGGCUAACUCUGUGCCAGCAGCCGCGGUAAUACAGAGGGUGCGAGCGUUAAUCGGAUUUACUGGGCGUAAAGCGCGCGUAGGUGGUUAAUUAAGUCAAAUGUGAAAUCCCCGAGCUUAACUUGGGAAUUGCAUUCGAUACUGGUUAGCUAGAGUAUGGGAGAGGAUGGUAGAAUUCCAGGUGUAGCGGUGAAAUGCGUAGAGAUCUGGAGGAAUACCGAUGGCGAAGGCAGCCAUCUGGCCUAAUACUGACACUGAGGUGCGAAAGCAUGGGGAGCAAACAGGAUUAGAUACCCUGGUAGUCCAUGCCGUAAACGAUGUCUACUAGUCGUUGGGGGAUUUGAUCCUUUAGUGGCGCAGCUAACGCGAAUAGUAGACCCGCCUGGGGAGUACGGUCGCAAGACUAAAACUCCAAUUGAAUUUGACGGGGGCCCCGCCAAGCGGGGGAAGCAUGUGGUUUAAUUCGAUUGCAACCCAAAAAACCUUAACCUGGGCUUG